AGAAAAAUGAAAUUAUUCAGCUAACUCUUUAAAUACCUAUUUAAUUCUCUUGGAACUCUAAUUUCAACUCAUUUUCAUCAUAGAUAAUCAUUUCAUACAAUCCCCCCUUGCUUUCACAACAGAGUCAACGGAAAAUGACUCCAAGUGAAAGCAGAACCAUUACAGGACGGACAUGAAAAAGAAAAUUGAUAGAUGGGAGGAAUCUAACAUGCACUCACGAAAAAGUCGCAAACUGAAAAUCUAAGAAAAACACCCCAAAAAAAUAUAAAAAAAACAACUGUACCACACGGUCGCUUGUGUGAAGGAAGCAUAUUGAAACAACUCCCAAAUUAGCAUUUCAAAAUUAGCCUGUCCACAGGCAACGGCCAAACCAAGGUGAAACAAAACAAGCAUCAUGACUCAAUUUACCUCCUGAAGUCUAGGGAAUUCUCUCAACUUAGAUGUAUGUCUAUGUUCCUCAAAAUAGUGGCAGUCAACCAAAAUCGCUACUUAGCAACAGUAGGGGAAAAAAAUGCUCAAAGUCCCUAAAAUCAAGGAACAAUCAGUGAGUGAUCCCCAUGAUACCCCAGUCUAGAUCUCCAAAUACAGCCACAUCAAUGGUUGUGGUUCUUGGGGGAGGCCUACUCUUUCGGCUUUUGCCUUUGUGCUGAAAUUGCGAAAUUGAACUUUGCCUUCUAGUUGUUGUGCUGGUGGCUGGCACACGUGGGAGUGUUAGUCUGCUAACUUAGCAGUUUUUCUUAGAUUUUCAGUUUGCGACUUUUUCGUGAGUGCAUGUUAGAUUCCUCCCAUCUAUCAAUUUUCUUUUUCAUGUCCGUCCUGCAAUGAAUGCGUUCACCCAAACAGACACCAAACAAGACAAAACAUUGCGAUUACAAAACUUCCAAGUUAACACCAACCUCGGUAAAUCAAGGAAUACACAAUGCAGCCAAUCGGAUCCCUCGUGCACAGGGAAUACCAAAACGGACAAAUGAAUUUACUAGGUCGACCACAAACAGAUAUCGACAAAAGCCUGUGACCUGGGCCACAACCACAGACAGAACAACACAAUUGGCGCGUGCAUAUACAACUUCAUUGGCACAACUACUAAUUUAAACCAAUUUAGGCAAUUUACAGGAGCAUCCCUACUCCCUCCUACCGUCUCUGAUAUUUUAAGGAUGAGGUCCAACCUCAACUGCAUAUUUAAGUCCAACCUAAAUUGAAGAUUUUCCAGCAGUCCAACUUCCGCAGUCCAACUGCUUAAUAUCCUGCACGAAAUCGCCCCGCAAUAGGUUAGCUGCAUGGGAAUGGUCGUCAGGACAUGGAACAAAACGAUAUUCUUCUAACUACAGGCGCUAUAACUAAAAUACCCGAAAACAUUUCCAUAACACAGCGUAAGACCUUGGGCCUGAGACAGGCGGGUCCAGUGACACUGUGGCCCUAUCCAGGGGAGGCCCUGUACAAGGCCACACAGGCAGGAAGUCAAUCCACCCACAUUGCCAAGCAUCAACCAAAGGGACACCAACCAACCGCAACCACCCUGAAAUGAGGGCCGAAUAUUGCCUGCAGAGUUCACUCCAAUUUUCACAAUGUUUUUUUUACCUCUUUUGGGGGGGGGGGCAAGUCUUAAUUAGGGUGGUCAAACCCCCCAAUCCCGAUUCGAAACCCUGCUUAUUGGUGCUCUUUAUUAAGAGUGUGGUUCUCGUCUUAGGGAAGUGAACAUAGACAUGCCUCCUAGUCUGCCAUGGGGGCUGCAGUGAGGUGGGAGGUAUGAUAUCCUUAGGGGUGUUUCUGGGGUCUUCCCAAUAUAAACUGGGAGGUAUGAUAUCCUUAGGGGUGUUUCUGGGGUCUUCCCAAUAUAAACUGGGAGGUAUGAUAUCCUUAGGGGUGUUUCUGGGGUCUUCCCAAUAUAAACUGGGAGGUAUGAUAUCCUUAGGGGUGUUUCUGGGGUCUUCCCAAUAUAAACUGGGAGGUAUGAUAUCCUUAGGGGUGUUUCUGGGCUCUUCUGAAUAUAAACUGGGAGGUAUGAUAUCCUUAGGGGUGUUUCUGGGGUCUUCCCAAUAUAAA
ensembl:lncRNA